UACGUAGGGAGCAAGCGUUGUCCGGAAUCAUUGGGCGUAAAGCGCGCGUAGGCGGCUCGACUCAGUCUGUUGUGAAAGUCAAAGGCUCAACCUUUGAAUGCCGAUGGAUACUGUCGAGCUAGAGUCCGGAAGAGGCGAGUGGAAUUCCUGGUGUAGCGGUGGAAUGCGCAGAUAUCAGGAGGAACACCGAUGGCGAAGGCAGGUCACUGGGCCGCAACUGACGCUGAGGAGCGAAAGCAUGGGGAGCGAACAGG
rnacentral:rRNA from 1 species